GGGGCUGACAAGCUUCGACAAAGGUUCUUUGAAAAAUGGCUGCAAGCCUUGCUUUGUUUCUCACGCAAGUCAAUCUCGAGAAACACUAUACAAAUGCCAACUCAUUUGUCGCAAAGCUGAAGAAUUCCUUCGCUUUUGCACCUGUAGCCGCUUAAUCUCGGCUGCGGUUGAACUCAGGACGCCGAUACUGGGGGAAACCUAUCAUUUCGGUUAUACGCUCCUUGAGCCGCAGGACCUGGAGCGCGAAAAGUUAUCCUGCUCGUCUGGCUGAUAUUUUGCCGAUUUAAAGUCAGUUUGGAUUAAAUAAACUAAAUCCGCUAAGCUUGUAGAUGUCGCUUUUCUAAACUUUUGGACGCGGGUGCAACUCCCGCCAGCUCCACUG
rnacentral:tmRNA from 1 species